rnacentral:lncRNA from 1 species
GUGCGAAUUAAAGUAGAGUUGUAGAAAGGAAUGGGGUGUUCAAGUAUUGAUAUCAUUUCAUCUCAAUUCUUAUCAAUUGUGUAAAGCUAUCCUAACAAUGAGUAGUUAAUUCUCUCUUUUGUUUGGAUUAUAUGUAAUUAAUCAUACUUUUUUGUAUCUUUUUUUUAUCGCGAUGUUCUAAUUUUCUUUUAUGAUAUGAUCAAUCAUGAAAUAAUGUUUUGAUUUAGAUUGUCAUUGGAAAAUGCUUUUUAAACCUAAAUUUAUUUGAUAGUGUGUAACUGUUCAUGGUCUACUUGUAGCUGAAAAUUAUUGGAAAUUAAUUUUAAUUUCUAAACAAUAAUAAAUAUUAAUGCAAGUGAUGCAAAUGUAAGAGAUAUAUUUCAAGAAGUUAAUUGAUUCCUG